GAUGAAGAUGUAGAACUCUCAGCUCUUCCUACACCAUUCCUGCCUGGAUGCUGCCAUGUUCCCACCUUGAUGAUAAUGGACUGAACCUCUGAACUUAUUCCAAGAUGGCUCCCAGGCUAGAACCCAGACAUGUGGGCCGCUGGCCAGCCUCAACAGAACAGGUCUGAUGGCAACUCGCAACUGCCUGUAACUCCAAUCCCAGGGGAAUCCAAAGUCCUCUUCUGCACUCCUCUUUACUGCAUGCAAUGAGUACACAGACUUACAUCCAGAGGGAAGUGAUCAGCGACCUACAUAUGGAUCUGGUGAAUAAGAAAAACACCUUUCCAGAACCUUCCAUGUUUACUUAUGUCAGCAAACCUCUGGUCAAGAGGCCCAAGCCUGGGAAUAGAAGGGUCAUUGUGUAUUCUGGGUCAACCCUGCUUGGAAGGCUGUGAAGCCUCAGAGGUUCCCAAGAGAAUCAAUAGCAGCUGGUCGAGGAUGGCUCAGUGAUUGAGAGCACCGUGGCUACUCUCCCAGAGAAGCUGGGUUCAACUCUUAGCACAAAUGUGGCAAUUAACAACCUCCAUCACCAGGGAAUCCAGUGCCCUCUCCUGGCCUCUGCAUGUACUGUGGGCAUACGCGUGGUGUACAGACAUGCAUACGAGGAAAAUGUCCAUAUGAAUAAAAUAAAAAUAAAUAUUUUUUAAA